UUCCGGUUGAUCCUGCCGGAGGUUACUGCUAUCGAGGUUCGACUAAGCCAUGCGAGUCGAAUGUAGCAAUACAUGGCGAACUGCUCAGUAACACGUGGACAACCUGCCCUUAGGACGGGGAUAAACCCGGGAAACUGGGUAUAAUACCCGAUAGGUCUCGAUUGCUGGAAUGCAUCGAGAUUUAAAGCUCCGGCGCCUAAGGAUGGGUCUGUGGCCUAUCAGGUAGUAGUGGGUGUAGCGUACCUACUAGCCUACGACGGGUACGGGUUGUGAGAGCAAGAGCCCGGAGAUGGAUUCUGAGACACGAAUCCAGGCCCUACGGGGUGCAGCAGGCGCGAAAACUUUACAAUGCUGGCAACAGCGAUAAGGGAACCUCGAGUGCCAGGUUACAAAUCUGGCUGUCGAGAUGCCUAAAAAGCAUUUCAUAGCAAGGGCCGGGCAAGACCGGUGCCAGCCGCCGCGGUAACACCGGCGGCUCGAGUGGUAACCGUUAUUAUUGGGUCUAAAGGGUCUGUAGCCGGCCGGAUAAGUCUCUUGAGAAAUCUGGCAGCUUAACUGUCAGGCUUUCAGGAGAUACUGUCUGGCUCGAGGCCGGGAGAGGUGAGAGGUACUUCAGGGGUAGGGGUGAAAUCUUGUAAUCCUUGAAGGACCACCAGUGGCGAAGGCGUCUCACCAGAACGGACCUGACGGCAAGGGACGAAAGCUAGGGGCACGAACCGGAUUAGAUACCCGGGUAGUCCUAGCCGUAAACGAUACUCGCUAGGUGUCGGCCACGGUGCGACCGUUUGUCGGUGCCGUAGGGAAGCCGUGAAGCGAGCCACCUG
rnacentral:rRNA from 1 species